rnacentral:tRNA from 1 species
UAGUAAGUGGCCUACUGGUCAGGGCUUCGUGCUUGUAACCGAAGGGUUUCCGGUUCGAUUCCCGACCAGUAG